GACGAACGCUGGCGGCGUGCUUAACACAUGCAAGUCGAACGGAGCGAAUGAAAGCUUGCUUUUAUGAGCUUAGUGGCAAACGGGUGAGUAACACGUAGACAACCUGCCGACAGGAUGGGGACAACAUUUCGAAAGGAAUGCUAAUACCGAAUGAAGUCAGAGAAGGGCAUCCUCUUCUGAUGAAAGAUGGCCUCUGAACAUGCUAUCACCUGUCGAUGGGUCUGCGUCUGAUUAGCUAGUUGGUGAGGUAACGGCUCACCAAGGCGACGAUCAGUAGCCGGUCUGAGAGGAUGAACGGCCACAUUGGGACUGAGACACGGCCCAGACUCCUACGGGAGGCAGCAGUGGGGAAUCUUUCCGCAAUGGGCGCAAGCCCUGACGGAGCAAACGCCCGCGUGAGUGAAGAAGGUCUUUCGGAUUCG
rnacentral:rRNA from 1 species